UUGAAAUUUUAACCAGCGAACUACAGGACGUCGAGCUGAGGGCGUGUCAGUGUUAGUUCCUCUUGUUCAACACCGUGAAUUGUUCAGGUCCCCCCACCCAGAGGAAACAGCGCUUCAUAAAAACCCGGGUUGAACAGCGCUCCAGCCAGACCCGUCGCAGUCCCCGGAGAGAUGAAGCCGAUUUAUGUUUUCCUGUUGGUGCUGGUCUUGGCUGUGAUCGCGUUCCUCAUCGUCUUCUUCGUCAUGAGGUCUCAGUGCCCCGAGAUAGAGCCUGAAGACGGUUGGCAGUGGUGGUGUAGGCCGUCGACGGGGAACAGUGGCCACGGGUCGCACCACACGACCAACAUUUACAAAAACAAAUACAAGUACAAAAACAAGUAUGCUUCCGAUAAUUAAUAAUUGCCGGGAGACCAGCAAAGCAUGUUAUACAGGAAAACAAAUUACAUGCCACAAGAAAACCACCAAAAACAAACCUUCAGAGGCCCAGGAAAGGGAAUUUAUAGAUAUAAAACGUACCUUGCAUUCAUUCUAAUAUAUUGGUGCAUGUUUAUCAGUCAGUGUACAGACUUUGCACGGGCGUUAUUCUGUAUGCAUUAUUCCCGUUACCUGUGUAAUAGUAUGUUCAAACGUGCAUUUAUAGUCUAGUCAAUUUUAUAUGUGUAUGUAUGAUUGAUGGGUUAAUUUUUAAUACACUUAAAGCUUCAAGUUGAUCACAUAUUAUAGCAAUUUACAUAUACACCAUAGAUAAACAUAUUGUAGUUAUUUCACAUUAUACAAAAAUAACAACUCAGUUUACACUUUUGAAAAUCUCAUAUAAGUUGAGCGGAAACUCAUUUAAUUUGCAAUUUCCAUUUUGCAAAAGUCUACCCCACUACAUCUUACAGGUAUUAAACCAUUUGUAUAGACAUUUCUAUUAUUAUUUUCUUCGUCACCUUAACGCUUACUCUGAAAGAUUUUUUGGACAUGUAAGAUUCUAUCGGAAGCAUUUUCUAUUCCAUUUUUUUAAAAUUUAUUUAUUACUAUUUUUUUUUUUUGCAAAUUCAAUUCAUCAUUUCAUUCAUUCAUCUUUUAAAUUUAUUUAUUUCUUGCCAAAGGGAAAUAAGUUUCCAAGAAUAACGUGUCUUAUUAUCGCCUUCUCAUUCCGUCUGGCACACUUGCAUUGUAAACUGGUGAAUAUUUAGCUUUAGAAAUAGAAUUAGCAACCAUUGAAUAAUCCUCGUGCAUGUGUGUAAUGUUAGAGCCAACGGUCAGUGAACAAGCUCAAUGCAUUUAAAUAUUGGAUUUGUCUAUAUUUUGAAUUAGAAAGGGAGUAUAUUAGCUUCUUUUAUAUAUAUAUAUGCUUAUUUCUAAUCUGCUUCAAAAGCUUUUGAUAUACACACAAAAACAGUAAAUUCUGUUUAGAAAUCUAUAUAGAAAUAGUUCAUAGCUAUUCUAGUAUUUGGAAAUAUGACGCCAUUUUUGCAAUCUAUUUUUGUCAUCUUAUUGUCUAAUAAAUAUUUUCUGGAUUUUAAA